rnacentral:lncRNA from 1 species
UUGUUCAUUGUUUGAGGCAUCAUCCCAUUAUAGCCAUACAUUUGCUGCUGCUGUUGGCCAUAAUCGGCUACAGACCCCGUAGGCUGAGAAGCAUAUCCGAAUCCAUUAUUAAACUGAGUAGCUGGUUGUGAUUGCUGAAAAGGUAGCAUCGUAUUACCAGCAUAGCCAUCAGGUUGAUAAGGCUGUUGGUAUGGAUAUGUUUGCUGCUGGUAAUUCAUACCGCCUUGAUUUAUAGGCAUACCAUAGCUGUCAAAACCUGGUUGAACUCCAUUAUUCGCGCCAUAUCCGUACAUCGAUCCAUUCAUCUGAUUUGGAUAUGACAUACUACGAUAUGAAGGAGAAAUUAUUGAAUGAGCACCCUCUUAUUAAGCCAAAUUAAUAAUAUUAAAUGUUCCUUUGGCCUUCUUUGCUCUUUGGUAGUUGACAAGCCGACGGUAAGUCUACAUUAACCAAAGUAGCACAUUAACGCAAACCCUGUACCUCGUUAUUCCGAUAAAGGUUUAUGUAAAUUUAUAUCAAGUAGAACAUGUAAAUGGCAAUACAUGUCAAUACAUUAAGAUAUUCUUUUUAUUUACGUUAACAUCUUAUGUUUUUAGUUGAUUCAACUUUGAUUAUGCUUACGAUGCCUAACAAUGCUCUUCAACGUGUACGGAUAUCGGAUUUCCAAAAAAAAAAUAAUAAAAUAAAAUAAAAGGCAAUUUAACAAAUAGGUAAAUUCAUAGAAAAUGUGAGUUUAACAGGUAUUGUGAUUCUGCAAAAUAGAUUGAUUUUAAAAAACCCGCGCUGAAGAUGAAUGUCAUUCAUACAAUAAAGUAAGACAAACCUAACUAUAAUGAUCCCCUAACAAAAGCACGACCACUCGUUUGCACGAAUUACUUUAAGGUAGACGUGUAUAAACAACUUACAAAAUACCGAUUUCAGCCUAGCAAACUUCAAUAUUUACAUCGUAAAAAAAAGGAAAGAUAAAGACGGUAUUUAUCAUAUAGAAGUCUUUAUUAAAGAGUUGGCAUUCGAAAAAAAAUAAAAGCUUAUCAUUCAGAUAACAUUAAGACAGUUAUGCUUACAAAAUGUUAUUUAAGUUAGAAGGGAAAGUGGUGGGAAUCGGGAAGAUAAGGGCACAUUUCUUCUCAAUUUACAAUACUCAGACAUUUGAUAUCAUAAAUACUGAUUCUCGUAAAAAGGUAACACCAGUAAGUUGACUAAAGAAAGAAAACAGUGUUCCAUACCAAAAUCAAAUCAUUUUUCGCUAAAUAUAAACCAUAAAAAGUGAGGUCGAACUUAGCUAGUUGACAAAGUAAGAAAGAAAAAGAAUGACAGCAAAUAGAAGAUAUAAAAAAGGUGGUAUGUUUCUUCUAUGUUCGUCAAGCUUUUCGCUAUCUACAAAUCCUCAAGAGCUUGGUGAACUUCAUCUAAUUCAGCCUUGACCUUAGUAUACUUGUCAGUCAUUUCUUCUAGUUUCUGUUCCAUAUCAUCACGCUCACGCUCUAGAGAUUGGACGCGACGUUCAAAAUGCUCAGCCUUAACAUCAGUUUGACGCAUCUUUUCGGUGGUUUC